CCCUUAGAUGUUCUGGGCCGCACGCGUGCUACACUGAGUGGAUCAGCGGGUCAGGUUGCGCGAAAGCGUUUCCUAAUCUUUAAAUCCGCUCGUGAUGGGGAUUGACGGUUGCAAUUUUCUGUCAUGAACGAGGAAUACCUUGUAAGCGCGGGUCAUCAUCCCGCGCUGAAUACGUCCCUGCCCUUUGUACACACCGCCCGUCGCUACUACCGAUUGAAUGGUUUAGUGAGACCCUCGGAUUCGUCCCAGCACAGUGGGUUUCUGCUGAGCUGGUGCGCGGAGAAGACGGUCGAACUUGAUCAUUUAGAGGAAGUAAAAGUCGUAACA
rnacentral:rRNA from 1 species